GACGAACGCUGGCGGCGUGCCUAAUACAUGCAAGUCGAGCGAAUCACUGGGACGCAAGUCCCGCUGGUUAGCGGCGGACGGGUGAGUAUCACGUGGGCAACCUGCCUGUAAGACUGGGAUAACACCGGGAAACCGGUGCUAAUACCGGAUAAUCCUUUUCCUCACAUGAGGGGAAGCUGAAAGUCGGUUUCGGCUGUCACUUACAGAUGGGCCCGCGGCGCAUUAGCUAGUUGGUGGGGUAACGGCCCACCAAGGCGACGAUGCGUAGCCGACCUGAGAGGGUGAUCGGCCACACUGGGACUGAGACACGGCCCAGACUCCUACGGGAGGCAGCAGUAGGGAAUCUUCCGCAAUGGACGAAAGUCUGACGGAGCAACGCCGCGUGAGCGAAGAAGGCCUUCGGGUCGUAAAACUCUGUUGUCAGGGAAGAACACGUACCGGAGUAACUGCCGGUACCUUGACGGUACCUGACCAGAAAGCCACGGCUAACUACGUGCCAGCCGCCGCCGUAAGAC
rnacentral:rRNA from 1 species